UUCGAGGUACACAGAGGCAUCUUGAUUUUCUUUAUCGUUUCUUUUUGCAAUCUUGCUUUUUCGUGCCAUGGCAGGCUGUGGCUACUGGUGGUACUCACUACGAAUUGACUCGCGUGUUUAUCGUAACGAAUACAUAACGAAUGAACGAACGAACGAACGAACAUGCUCAUGCUUUUGUUAUACGAUCUGUGGUCAUGCUCGGGCUGAGUAUAACGUUGAAUGCAUGCCAAAUUUGAUUGAUUUAAUUUGUUUUUAUUUAUUUGUUUUUUUUUCCUGGACUUGUAUCAUUCUUCUUCUCUACGCAUAGCAUGCGUGUGUUGUUUAUUGAUUACAUUAUAUAUUAUAUGUCAUAGAUUUGUUCUAAGUCGCCGCGAAGAUAUUCAAGCCCCGUGCAAGGAACUGCAGCUAAUCGAAGAUGCUUCAAGAUGCAGCGAUCCUUUGGAAUUUCUCAACACAGCCACAUUUCAUUAUUUUUAUCAAUUCCAUCGAUUCUUUUGGGUUAGGUGAUCCCUUCCAGACGAACUUCACUUUCUGCGUUUUAACAAUGAAACGCGUGCCGGAAUACACCACGAACAUACCAUCCGGAUCACUGAAGAUCUCAUUGAUACGACGUGGAGAUGAUACGCUGAUUCUUGAUUUAAAAUGAUGACAUUAGAUGCGAUGAAUGCAUGCAAAUUUUCUCAAUGAGAUUGCCUUGAUCAAAAGUGUCAACGUACCAGUUAGUCAACAAUUCGCCUUCGACAAAAUUGAAGAGAGUCGUAGUACACUUGGGAGAUGUUUCUAAACGGGGUAUCGAACGUAAAGAUAAUAAUAGCGUUCGUAUAUCAAAAAUCGAUUCAUUCGAUUUGGUAUUCCUAAGACGUUGUUUUUGAAAUAUUAUUAUCUUCCCCAUUAGACGUAAAACGCGAGCUGGAGUCGAGGAAAAACGCAAGUACAAGUACAUAUUAUAAAAAAGGAUGAACACAGACAAUCGGGGGAAAGAGGAUGGUUGCAAAGAACACGGCACAUAGAAAAUUGGCGUUCCGACGACAUGCCGACAAAUAUUGCUGUUAUCAGGCAACAGUCUUGGCAGGCAGCACACAGACAUGGCGUACAUCAUUCAAGAUGCACAAUGCAGACGGGACGACACUGACAUCGAGCGUGUCCUGCAUUCAAUUUUUGCGCACGUGCCACUUUGCUUUGUUUUAUCAUUGUUCU